rnacentral:lncRNA from 1 species
CCCGGCCGUGGCCGGGAAGUUCGAUCGGAAGUCUGGGACAAGCCAGGGAACACGCAAAGGCCGGGGAAAGAACUCAGGACGCGUGCGCGUCAGGUGUGACGCAUGCGCAGCGCACCCCAGACCCCGGCCGGCCGCUGUCCAACCAUCCCCCUUAGUACGAAUAGGUUGGAGCACUGAGACUUCCGGUUCCGCAAGGCUCACCUUUCAGGUGAGGUUUAUCUCGGCUCAAGAUCACUGAGAGGGAGACCGUCUCAAAGAGUAAUUGUAUCCUGCGUAGCACAAAAGUCACCGUGUUCUGGGAGGAGGGAGGCGCCGCUCCUUCCUCCAGGUCCCCAGGGAGUUUCUGAUCUUGUCCAGCAUGCACUGCGCUCCCUGAGCUCUGAGGAUGUUUCCAGGUGCCAAGAGCAACGGUGCAGACGGGGGCCUGCAGGAGGCUCUGAUUUGGAAGUGAGCAGCUGAGGAAGUGAAGAUUCUGCCUGGAAACUGACUUGCUGAUAAGUUCACAGCAAAUUCGAGGAGGAAGUAAGGAGACUCCUGUACACUGGAGCGCCCGCCCGCUGUCCCGUCAGACUGGGCGCUGCGCCCUGCCGGCUGCGACCGACCGUUAGGCCAGGACCCAGGGCUUCCGGCCGCCCUUCGCUGCCCAGUGUGGCCUCGACAGCAGGCCAGGCCUCGCUUCGUUGUUUUGAUUUGCUUUCCCUGGCCUGCGCUCAAGCGCCUUCUCGCGCUUGUGCGCAAGCUGAAAGUCUCCGGUUUCAGGAAACACCCCUCCACUGCAGGCGCGGGCUCCACAACAGCAGACGUCAGCCAACAUGAGCAGGAGCCUGAGUGAGUCGGAUGGCGCGCGUCAGCUCCUGGCCCUGCCUGAAACGCCCCCGCUGCUUCACAGGGGAGGAGCUCACAGCUGGGCCCACAUCCCGCCGUGCUGGUCAUCUGAUGGAGGUCACAGGCUCUAGGCCACACGGAUGGAGUGAAAGAUGUUUCUGGAACGCUGAAGGGCAGAACAUAGUUAAUUCUGGCAAUUUUGUGGGGCAGCUUCUGCUUCUUCAUUAGGACAGAAAUAGCCAGAGAUGAUUUUACAUAAGGAAGUCACAGAGGGACAGCAGCGGGGGUGCUUCUGGCACCAGGUUGCUUUUCAGCAUUUUAAAUAAGUUAAUAGCAUAGCUUCCAUCACUCCCGAAUAAAUAUCCAAUUAUGUUGCUGAAUUUUGAAACAUCUUAAAGUAAUAUUUCAAUUAAUAUAUCGUUUGUUAUUUUCAUAUAAUAGCAUUUAUUGGAGCUCAGGAAAAACUUUGUAGAGAAUUACCCUCCGAAAGACCUAAGUCUAAUUCCUAAUAUAACUUGUUUCUUUUGAGAUUUCACUUUUGCCUUUUUUUCUUUUCAUAAAUCAAAUUUCAUUCUAUUUUUCUCCUUCCUUCUGGAGCAUGAAAAAGAUUUUAUUUCUUCUUUAGUUAUUCUAGGACAAAUUAAAGUUUUAAUUGUAAGUUUUAAAUUUGGCAUCGUGUGACAUUAUGAAAUACAUGUUCUAUUAGUCAUUAGCUAAAAUAGCAAAUGGCUUUCACUACUGUGCUUUCCUUUUAUUUCUUUUUUGGGCGGGACUAGGGAUUGAACCCAGGCCCUCACACCUGGCAGACAAGCACUCUACCGCUGAGCUACACCCAGCCCCUUUUAUUUUUAUUUCGGGAAGGGUCUUGCUAAGUUGCCCUGACCCGGCUGGCUGACCUGGAAGUUGUGUCCCUUCUGUCCCAGCCUCCCGCACAGCCAGGCAUACAGACGUGCACCACCACAGCAGAAGCAAACUGGUAACUUCAAUUGUACCAAGAAACUUCUCAUUACCUGUCUCCUUGUCUUUUCCUAAAGCACAAGCUUGUAAUCUAUGGGCAGGGCCAGACCUCAGGGGAUGCUGCCCUACAGGGACACUGGCCCUGCUUCUGAGCCAAGUGUCUGGUGAGUGAGGUGGAGAAGGAAAGGCCCAGAUGUCACCUGUCAGGGAGGCCCAGUUGCCCUCAGGUGGGAGCAGUGGAAGAUGAAGCAGCUUUCCUUCCACAGCUGCUAAGCCUUGCUGGGAGUCCGUGGGUGGCUUCAGUGUUUUCUCCGGAGGAUGGGAUAACACUACCCCUCAUGUUGCCACCUGCCACAGUUUACCAUAGUCUCAGAAAAGGCGAAGGACAGGGGCUUCUGUUCUUUGUCACUCCAUGGAAGGAACUUUAGGACGCUGCAGGACUUUUUGGAAAGUGGCAGCUAAAGCUCUGGGGAUAAACGCUCCAGAGGGAAGGUGAAGACAGUGAGGGUUGUGCGAGACCUGGAACCUCUCGAACGGCCCACGGGUGGGGUGCUCACACAGUGUCUCCGAGUGUGUGGUGUGGCACAGGACCCCGCAGCACCUUCGGAUUUGCACUGCCAGGCCGACCUCGGAGGGACGGACUUGCAGCUACAACACAGACACCUCUGGGGUGAAAUGUGGCGACGGUUUGACAGGCAUAGCAGGAGCUCCGGCCAAAAAGGAUUUAUCCAAUUAAAGUUAUGGGAUGAAUUUUGGCUGGCAGCAUGUAAUUACCCGGCUUGGAGCGGAGCCAGGAUCCUGAGGUUAACACCCGUGCUCUUGCCAGCAGCCUCCUACCUGCCAAGGCUCGGCAGGGCUGGAGCGCGCUGUUGUGACAUCUCGCACAAUGCUGGUGACGCACAGCCUGGACCUGGUUUCUUCAGCGCUCAUUAUGUUCCUUCUUUUUAUGCCACAUUAGGCUCGAAACCAAAUGUCCACAUAGAUGUCAAUUUCCUCAAAUCUGAGUUUAAAAUUAUAAUUAGAAAAUAAAAAAUAGAUUUACAAAUUAAUUUAUUCCGUCAGAGUGGUUAUCGAGCGAUUAUUUCACUGUAGGAGUGAAACUGGAUCAGAGCGGUGAUAUUGAACCCUCGCCGCCUUAGGAGAAAAAUGGACCAGGAGCCAGGUCGGGCCUGGGUGGGAGAGCGCCCCGGGCCCACAGACAGCCGGGCAAGAGACAAGCCC